AACGAACGCUGGCGGCAUGCCUAACACAUGCAAGUCGAACGAGACCUUCGGGUCUACUGGCGCAGGGGUGCGUGACGCAUGGGAACCUGCCCUUAUGGGCGGGGUAACUCCCCGGGAAGGUGGCGAUUACCCGGGAAUGGCUUCUGUCCAAAGAUUUAUCGCCGUGGGAUGGGCCCGCGUUGGAUUAGCUAGUUGGUGGGGUAAAAGCCUACCAAGGCGACGAUCCAUAGCUGGUCUGAGAGGAUGAUCAGCCACACUGGGACUGAGACACGGCCCAGACUCCUACGGGAGGCAGCAGUGGGGAAUAUUGGACAAUGGGCGCAAGCCUGAUCCAGCCAUGCCGCGUGAGUGAUGAAGGCCUUAGGGUUGUAAAGCUCUUUUACCCGGGAUGAUAAUGACAGUACCGGGAGAAUAAGCUCCGGCUAACUUCGUG
rnacentral:rRNA from 1 species